UCAGUCGACUCCUACGGGAGGCAGCAGUAGGGAAUAUUGGGCAAUGGAGGAAACUCUGACCCAGCCAUGCCGCGUGCAGGAUGAAGGCCCUACCGGGUCGUAAACUGCUUUAUAUGGGAAGAAACCCUCCUACGUGUAGGAGGCUGACGGUACCAUACGAAUAAGGAUCGGCUAACUCCGUGCCAGCAGCCGCGGUAAUACGGAGGAUCCAAGCGUUGUCCGGAUUCAUGGUUUAAGGUACGUAGCGGGUUAUUAAGUCAGUGGUGAAAGCCUACAGCUUAACUGUAGAACUGCCAUUGAAACUGGUAACCUUGAGUUUGGACGAGGUGGAUGGAAUGUAUCAUGUAGCGGUGAAAUGCUUAGAUAUGAUACAGAACACCGAUUGCGAAGGCAGUCCACUAGACCAAUACUGACGCUGAGGUACGAAAGCAUGGGGAGCGAACAGGAUUAGAUACCCUGGUAG
rnacentral:rRNA from 1 species